ensembl:lncRNA
CCCAUUUAGACCUGACAUGUUUGAUUUGUGAUUCAUUGCCUCUGUUUAGGAAUUUUAGCUUUCGUUUCAGUGAAUGUUUCCACUUGGAUUAUCUAAUGUGAAAUGUGUUCAGAGAAUAACAUCACUGUCGGCUAUGGAUGUGUGUACACAGAUUCAGAUGAAGUCUUCUGUCAGUCAAGAGCUCUUUUGAUCAUCGACGCCUCCUCAAACUCCCACAGCUACACACAGAGCUGUGGAUGUGCUGAUAUUAUCACCCUGGCAACAUCACGAGCCACUGAGGACUAAAACAAAAGAUCUGCUUGAAGACGCUGGUCUCUGUGAAAGUCAGUGCUGGCGCCCUUCGUCGUAUGGUAAUCGUCCUUGCUUGCAGAAAGGAGGGAUGGCGGCCAAACAGGACUGGAUUUGAUCUGCGUCCAGGUCUCUACUGAUAACCCCAUCGAUCUUACUUGAUUUAGCAAAAAAUGGCCUCACUAAUGACACCAGAGGGGGUGGCAAAUUCACUACCUUGACAGAUGUCCAAAUCACUGGUAAACAACAGAAAACGGGUGAAAAGAAAUAAAUGACCAUUUCAAAUCGGCA